GAUGAAGAACGUAGCGAAAUGCGAUACGUAAUGUGAAUUGCAGAAUUCAGUGAAUCAUCGAAUCUUUGAACGCAUAUUGCGCUCUCUGGUAUUCCGGAGAGCAUGCUUGUUUGAGUAUCAGUAAACACCUCAACUCCCCUUUCUUUUUUUGAAAUGGGAGCUGGACUUGAGUGAUCCCAACGCUUUUCUCACCGAAAAGUGGCGGGUUACUUGAAAUGCAGGUGCAGCUGGACUUUUCUCUGAGCUAAAAGCAUAUCUAUUUAGUCUGCCUAAAAAACAGAUUAUUACCUUUGCUGCAGCUAACAUAAAGGAGAUUAGUUCUUGUGCUGACUGAUGCAGGAUUCACAGAGACAGCUUUGCGGCUGACUUUGUAAACUCGAUCUCAAAUCAAGUAAGACUACCCGCUGAACUUAAGCAUAUCAAUAAGCGGAGGA
rnacentral:misc_RNA from 1 species